CCCAGGGCUCUCUGUGCCUGACUCUCGGCACCUCGCAAUCCCAAGGCUAUGGAGGAACCUCAGCGACCCCAGGUCUGACUCUGGAACUACCUAGAGCCACCGCAGACACAGGAUGCCACCAGAGGUAGCUCUUGCAGUUGCCUGGGCUGUGCCCACUCUGCCGUUCCCGGGCCUCUGACCUGGGCCCACUAAGGUGCCAGUGGCUGUUCCGUCACUGUCCUCCCAAACCAGAACCAGCCCCUGGAAGGACUUUCUUGAAGUGGCGGUUGAAAGCAGGAAGAAGCCCUAAGUCAUCAGGCCAAGUCUGGGAUGCACACCCCUCAACCUCCACCGCAUCCCACCUCUGGACACUCCAACCCACAGAGAAAAAGUGCAGUUCCGCGCUUCCGCCCCAGCGAAAGCCACGGCGGCUGCCUGGCUCCCCGCAGCAGCAACUCCCGGUCUGCCAGCUCUCCAUGCCUGGAUCAUCGUCAAUAAAGUAAUUCGGGCAGCUGUUCCCUUCGCCCAACCUUGCUGUUGCACAAUCCCGCCGGCCCUUGGGACGCUCGUGUGCCCUCAGGACAUGCCGCCCAGGAAGCUGCGUUAUCCCUGCUUCGAGACAGACACCCAGCCAGGUCAGCCCACCCUAGCCUUCUUCAGGCUGAGGGUUCGAGUCAGCCCUGGGCAAAAACAUCAGAAAUCCCCAUGGAUGUGCUCCUUUCUACUGCGUUUUAAGAAGACCAACAUAAGUAGCAAGUCAAAAAAAAAAAAGAGGAAAAUGUGAAGUGCAGCCCAUCCGGGACCACAGGGACACCUGCUAUUAGCAGCCAGAGGUUGUAACCAGGACGAAGCUGCAUCAGCAAUUUCUCCCAGCACUGGAAUUCGCUGCUGCUGAAGAGCAAGUACCCGCCAAAAAAAAAAAAAAAAAAGUCUUAAGGAAGCACAUUCGCGUCUUUGGAGAAUAGAGGCCAUAUCUAAAUGAACAACGCCUCACCUUGAAGUACGACAUGACAACAUCAGUAAUAAUAACAAACAGCACGUCUAAGUCAGUGACAGUCGGACCACAGUGGCCCUAAUGCCAGAGGGGAAGGUGGCAGGUCUGGGCCCUUCCUGAACUCCAGGGAGGACAAUGUGCUUUGGGAAGAAACUCCCAAAGCCUGUGAACAAGAGCCCUCCACUGCAGAGCCCCACUCCCUGCCACACACUCCCCAACCGGCUCUGAGGAAAUGCAGAGUGGACGCGGACCCGGACACCAGAAAGCUCAGCGACUUUCUACUUCGGAGGGAAAUUUCCAGUCUUGAUUGCCAGAACCGUCUGUAAUCUGCUGGGGCUGGUCCCCGACACACCACCUGCGUUUAUGACCUGCACAUAUGCCCUGGGGUACGUUCAGACUCAGCGCCCCACAUUCCUGGGAUGAAGCUACAUCACUCACACCAGCCGGGGUGAAGAUGGUGCAGUCAGGAGCCCGACAGCCUAGGACUGGACCACAGCGCCCGCUCCAGCGGUGUGACCUCUGCCAGCCCCAGCCUCUCUGGGCCUCAGCAGCCCCCUCCUGAGCAAAACAGAAAUUAGCAGUAGGCCUUCCUCGAGGGCUGCACAGGGGCGUAUGAGUCAGUCCUUGGAGAGCCCUGGGAAGCCUGCCU